ACAUAUUCAUGAGAGAGUUACAGUUUGGUUUUGAAGAAUGGAACAAAGGCAAGAACUGUGCAUAUGCAGAUGCGAUGUCAUUCUCACAUCAUCAAAACCGGGAGAAAAUAUUUAUGCUGCUGAUUUACAGAAUUCAAUCAUUUUGAUUUUGGAAGUCAAAGAGAUGCUCCCCAAAAUAGACUAUUGCAUUGUCCUUGGCUGCCUAUCAGGACCUGAAGUUUAUGUUUGGGCAGGUUGGAGACCUGAUAUGAGACAAAAUGGCUGAAGUGGAACGUCUUGGAGAGAAGGCUCUUGGUCAUUACAAAGUGGUUGGCAGCAGAUGUUCUGGGAACCCCAAGCUCCUCACAAUCUCUUCGGCCUCCAACCUCCUAUGACC
rnacentral:lncRNA from 1 species